rnacentral:rRNA from 1 species
UACGUAGGGCGCAAGCGUUAUCCGGAAUUAUUGGGCGUAAAGAGCUCGUAGGCGGUUUGUCGCGUCUGCCGUGAAAGUCCGGGGCUCAACUCCGGAUCUGCGGUGGGUACGGGCAGACUAGAGUGAUGUAGGGGAGACUGAAAUUCCUGGUGUAGCGGUGAAAUGCGCAGAUAUCAGGAGGAACACCGAUGGCGAAGGCAGGUCUCUGGGCAUUAACUGACGCUGAGGAGCGAAAGCGUGGGUAGCAAACAGG